rnacentral:misc_RNA from 1 species
GGAAGGAUCAUUAACGCAAGUAUUUCCAGCACUCGGUGUUCCACAUCGAUGUGCGGAGUACAUGUCCAUUCGGGGGUCGAUACAUGCCUGAUCGGUUCACGUCAGUGGAUCGCUAGGGGGCAAAUCGGCCCAUCGAACAUUUAGCGAAUUUGUUGAAGUCUCGUCUCGACCCGAUUACCUACGGAAAACUUCGAGCGCGCCCUCGGGUUGCCCCUCAGUUUUUUGCAAAGUAGUCGGGUCACCCUAAUGCCUGCUGUCCCCAUGGACUCCCCGAUAAAAACUCGGACGCAACGAUGGACGCACCGGAGCUGAUGAAGUUUUUGUCGGGCGAGCAUCCGAAUCGGCGUUUCAUAGCCUUGUGCUCCGAUCCGCCUUCUUGUGGGCUGCGUAUUUCCCGUUAAAGACUUCGAGCGCGCCCUCGGGUUGCCCCUCAGUCUUUUUCGGGAGUAUGUAUCUACGAUGGACUCCCGACUUGUCGGGCUGCAUCUGACGGUCGUCCCCGGAGCUUUGGUGUCUGGUCGGCCGCGUAGAAUUAGGUUUGUUGCCUCUUGAACGAAAACAGCCUGGCUGUGUUCUCGAAGCGCUCGGGUAGGACACGACUUGUCAUGUCCGAUCUCGAAGCGUGUAGAGUUUGUAUUUAUAGAUGCCAUUAUACGACAACUUUUAACAUUGGAUACCUUGGUUCCCCGAUCGAAGAAGGGCACAGCAAAAUGUGAUAAGUCAUGUGAAUUGCAGAAUUCUGUGAAUCAUCGAAUCCUUGAACGCAAAUAGCGCUACCGGGAAGCCCCGGGAGCGUGCCUGUUCGAGCGUCGGCCACAAACAAUCGACAUCCAACGGUUCGCCAUUGGAUGCAUCGGAAUUGACGGUUCAUAGCCUUGCGCUCCGAUCCGUUUAAGUACAGGCCCUCGGGCACAUGCGUCCUCCGUGCAAUAAUACGAGACUGGAUGCAGGUUUGACAAUGGUUUCGACCUAAUCGCCUGCUUCCGACAUCGUGAGUGCGGCUCGGCCAAAUGUGUCGGAGGAUAUGCCUCCUUUUCCGACUCGACGAGGGUCGGAAAAUUUACCAUCUCGACCUCGAAUUAGGCAAGGCUACCCGCUGAAUUUAAGCAUAUCACUAAGCGGAGGAAAAGAAACUAACUAGGAUGUCCUUAGUAACGGCGAGUGAAGCGGACAUAGCUCAAAUUUAAAAUCUAGAGGUCCUUCAGGGCCUCUCGAAUUGUAGUUUACCGAUCGGACGUCACGGGGGGGGUGCCGCAGGUACAAGUUCCCUGGAACGAGACAUCGUAGAGGGUGAGAAUCCCGUCCACGACCUCGGUGCCCUUCCAAUACGUGUCGUCCUUUUGAUGAGUCGGGUUGUUUGGGAUUGCAGCCUAAAAUGGGUGGUAGAUCUCAUCCAAAGCUAAAUAUCUCGGGGAGACCGAUAGCGAAGAAGUACAGUGAUGGAAAGGUGAAAAGAACUUUGAAAAGAAGGUUAAAAGUGCUUGAAACUGUUAAAAGGGAAACGAAUGGAAUUAUUGUUGUGUUGCCUUGUCAUUUCGGUUUGCCAUGGCUGAUCAGCCCGACUUUCGUCGGACAUCCACGGAUUAGGGCCUCGUGAGGUCAUGGUAGGCUUAUUUUGUCUUGUGCAUCGGUUGACGUCGGGUCGAGGCGAUGGAUACGGCCGGGGGAAGGUUGGCAGGCUGUCCUUCGGGACUUCAGGCCGUUACAGACCCCGAACUACACAUCGCUCCGGCCCGAGGAAGAAAACAGAGGCUUCUGCGCGGAGAAAACCUUCGACCCACGCUGCCGAUCGGGCUACAUCUGCUUCGGCAGUGUAGUUUUAUCGGUGGUUUGGCUAGGGGGACUCCAGCACUUUGUUGGGGACGUCGACAAAAUGAUUUCAUCCGCCCCGUCUUGAAACACGGACCAAGGAGUCUAACAUGUAUGCGAGUAUUUGGGCGAGAAACCCACCUGCGAAACGAAAGUGAGAGACAGGAGGCCCUUGAGGCUGCACUGUCGACCGGUUUUUCUUAGGAUUGAUCGAGUCGGAGCACACAUGAUGGGACCCGAAAGAUGUUGUGAUCUUUGCUUGCACAUGGCGAAGCCAGAGGAAACUCUGGUGGAGGCUCGUAGCGAUUCUGACGUGCAAAUCGAUCGUCUGAUGUGAGUAAAGGGGCGAAAGACUCAUCGAACCAUCUAGUAGCUGGUUCACAC